CCUACGGGAGGCAGCAGUGGGGAAUAUUGCACAAUGGGGGAAACCCUGAUGCAGCAAAGCCGCGUGAGUGAAGAAGUAUUUCGGUAUGUAAAGCUCUAUCAGCAGGGAAGAGAAUGACGUUACCUGACUAAGAAGCCCCGGCUAACUACGUGCCAGCAGCCGCGGUAAUACGGAGGGGGCAAGCGUUAUCCGGAUUUACUGGGUGUAAAGGGAGAGUAGACGGCGGUACAAGUCUGAAGUGAAGUGCCGUGGCUCAACCGCGGAACUGCUUUGGAAACUGUUAAUCUGGAGUACUGGAGAGGCAUGCGGAAUUCGUAGUGUAGCGGUGAAAUGCGUAGAUAUUAGGAGGAACACCAGUGGCGAAGGCGGCCUGCUGGACAGCAACUGACGUUGAGGCUCGAAAGCGUGGGGAGCAAACAGGAUUAGAUACCCGGGUAGUC
rnacentral:rRNA from 1 species